ensembl:miRNA microRNA 365b
GGCAGCAAGAAAAAUGAGGGACUUUCAGGGGCAGCUGUGUUUUACUAACCCAGUCAUAAUGCCCCUAAAAAUCCUUAUUGUUCUUGCAAUGGUCAA